AUUGUUGUUUGUUAAAUUUUCAAACCAAAAUAUUUAUAGAGUCGUGUGAUAAUUAAACUUGAUGGCAAGGAAAUAUACAAGAGAACUUAUAGUGAUGAUUAUGGAGUUAAUUAUGCUCAUUCUUAUUAAGGUGCAAGCUAGUGAUCUUGUCAUGAUUCCCUCUUCCAGUCCUCUUCAAGCCCCCUUUCCUCCUUCUGAUCACCUUGAUUAUAAUGGUCAUAGUCCAUUAAAAUUUUGCCUUGAUACCAAACUUGAAAGUUGUGAAGGAAGGAAAAAAAAAUUAAUGCCUAUUCAAUUCAACCGUUGCAUUCAUAUUGCAUAUGCCAAUUGUUUCGGCCAAGCCAUCCCUGGAGACCCAGUGUAUAAACUUGUUAAAGAGUGCUAUGCGUUUUGCAGAGUUUUUGAGGAAAUGGAGUACCCGAUAUAUACAAAUUGUUUGAAAAUAUAUCAUAAUCGUUUCAUCAAAAAGAAGCAUCUAUGAUCUCAAAUUCAAAAUGAGCUGUGUUGGUGAUUUCAAAUUGUGCAAUAAAACGUUACAAGGGAGCUAGAAGGAUCUUGGACUCGGUGCGGAUAGCAACUUUUAUAGAUUAUGAUUAUCUACAAUUAUCUAUCUGAAUUUGAGAGAAUUCGGGCAGGUGACUGUGAGAGAUCACUUAUGGGACUCAUGGUACUUACCUGACCAAAUAAAAAUUGGGCUGUCCAACCACUUAUCUAGUUAGGUGGGUUCCAUAAAUAGUCUAUCACAACUUUUACUGCUCAUUUUGUUUGUCAUUCUUGAAAAUAAGAACAUGUACUUAUUAUUAUGAAAGUAAACUGCUUAAUUAGCGGUAUGUUUGUAGUAAUACAUUCUAUUUACUAA